rnacentral:rRNA from 12 species
GAUAGCAUCUGUUCUUGAAAACUAAACAGGGCUGUGCCUGGUUAGUACUUGGAUGGGAGACCAACUUGGAAGACCAGGGGCUGCUAGCC